rnacentral:snRNA from 1 species
AGCUUUGCGCAGUGGCAGUAUCGUAGCCAAUGAGGUUUAUCCGAGGCGCGAUUAUUGCUAAAAAAGAAAAAAAAAAAAAAUUAAACAUACACCUGCCAUAUGAUCAUUCAUUCCACUCCUAGGUAUUAGCAAAGAGAAAGUAUAUAUUCAUAUGAAUGCAUGUAAAAAUGUUCGCUGCUGUUUAAUUUGUAAUAAUCCAAAACUGGA